GAGUAAAGAUGCUCGUUACGCGCAGCAGGACGGAAAGACCCCGUGACCUUUACUAUAGUUUGGUAUUGGUGUUCGGUGUGGCUUGUGUAGGAUAGGUGGGAGACGUUGAAGCAUGCACGCCAGUGUGUGUGGAGUCGUUGUUGAAAUACCACUCUGACCGUAGUGGAUAUCUAACCUUGGCCCAUGAUCUGGGUUGGGGACAGUGCCUGGUGGGUAGUUUAACUGGGGCGGUUGCCUCCCAAAAUGUAACGGAGGCGCCCAAAGGUUCCCUCAGCCUGGUUGGCAAUCAGGUUUCGAGUGUAAGUGCACAAGGGAGCUUGACUGUGAGACCGACGGGUCGAGCAGGGACGAAAGUCGGGACUAGUGAUCCGGCACCACCUUGUGGAAGGGGUGUCGCUCAACGGAUAAAAGGUACCCCGGGGAUAACAGGCUGAUCUUCCCCAAGAGUCCAUAUCGACGGGAUGGUUUGGCACCUCGAUGUCGGCUCGUCGCAUCCUGGG
rnacentral:rRNA from 11 species